GGGGAAUUUUCCGCAAUGGGCGAAAGCCUGACGGAGCAAUGCCGCGUGGAGGAUGAAAGCCUAUGGGUCGUAAACUCCUUUUCUCAGAGAAGAAAUUUUGACGGUAUCUGAGGAAUAAGCAUCGGCUAACUCCGUGCCAGCAGCCGCGGUAAGACGGGGGAUGCAAGUGUUAUCCGGAAUAAUUGGGCGUAAAGCGUCUGUAGGUGGUUUACCAAGUCUGUUGUUAAAACUCAAGGCUUAACCUUGAUCAGGCAACAGAAACUAGUAGGCUUGAGUACGGUAGGGGCAGAGGGAAUUCUCGGUGUAGUGGUGAAAUGCGUAGAUAUCGAGAAGAACACCAAUAGCGAAAGCACUCUGCUGGGCCGAAACUGACACUGAGAGACGAAAGCUAGGGGAGCGAAAGGGAUUAGAUACCCCAGUAGUC
rnacentral:rRNA from 1 species